rnacentral:rRNA from 1 species
GGGACACGUGGUAUCCUGUCUGAAUAUGGGGGGACCAUCCUCCAAGGCUAAAUACUCCUGACUGACCGAUAGUGAACCAGUACCGUGAGGGAAAGGCGAAAAGAACCCCGGCGAGGGGAGUGAAAAAGAACCUGAAACCGUGUACGUACAAGCAGUGGGAGCACCUUCGGGUGUGACUGCGUACCUUUUGUAUAAUGGGUCAGCGACUUAUAUUCUGUAGCAAGGUUAACCGUAUAGGGGAGCCGCAGGGAAACCGAGUCUUAACUGGGCGUUAAGUUGCAGGGUAUAGACCCGAAACCCGGUGAUCUAGCCAUGGGCAGGUUGAAGGUUGGGUAACACUAACUGGAGGACCGAACCGACUAAUGUUGAAAAAUUAGCGGAUGACUUGUGGCUGGGGGUGAAAGGCCAAUCAAACCGGGAGAUAGCUGGUUCUCCCCGAAAGCUAUUUAGGUAGCGCCUCGUGAAUUCAUCUUCGGGGGUAGAGCACUGUUUCGGCUAGGGGGUCAUCCCGACUUACCAACCCGAUGCAAACUACGAAUACCGAAGAAUGUUAUCACGGGAGACACACGGCGGGUGCUAACGUCCGUCGUGAAGAGGGAAACAACCCAGACCGCCAGCUAAGGUCCCAAAGUCAUGGUUAAGUGGGAAACGAUGUGGGAAGGCACAGACAGCCAGGAUGUUGGCUUAGAAGCAGCCAUCAUUUAAAGAAAGCGUAAUAGCUCACUGGUCGAGUCGGCCUGCGCGGAAGAUGUAACGGGGCUAAACCAUGCACCGAAGCUGCGGCAGCGACACGAUGUGUUGUUGGGUAGGGGAGCGUUCUGUAAGCCUGCGAAGGUGUGCUGUGAGGC